ensembl:lncRNA
CACCCAUUCAUACACUGAUGACAGGAGAACCAUACACAGUGACACCUGCCAUCAGUAACUACCAUUCACACACUGUAGUCGCAUCUACAGGAGCAAUGUUGGGUUGCCCAAGCAAGUGUCUUGCCCAAACAGGUUAGCCGGGCCUGGGAUCGAACCGACAACCCUCUGAUUGGAGGACGACCGUGCUCCCCACUCACCCACAGUUGCCCGUAAUAUUUUCUAUGGCGUGCAAUCGAUUAGUGCUCAUCUAUGAUAAAAUUCAGUGGGAGUGAAUGUAACGGAGUUAAAAAAUUUGCCUCAGAGGUCUUUACAGUCUGUACACAUGUGACAUCCCCUAUCCAGAAACCAUCACAUCGACACAGGAAAAACUCCCUAAACAAUGAAAAAGCAUUCGAUGGAGAGAAUAGAAAAGGGAAGAAACCUCAGCGAUAGCCUGACGUCAAAAAUUGGAGUGUUGAAAUUUCAGGGUUAAAAAUUUCCGAGUUGAUUCAGUGUUGGAGUUAUUUGGCAGAGUUGAUCAUGUCAGUGUUAACCCAACUCCGCAGAGAUGUAAUUAAGCUCCGCCCAUGUCUUUCACCUCUUCGGUUAGAGACAGAGAAGACAAGUCUGCGCCAUUUUCUACCUCUCAUGCAGUACUACACGAAUUCUCUGAUUUCUCCUUGUCUUCUGAGACGUCUGACUCAAGCUUCAGCUCAAGUGCAUCAACUAUAAUCCUAGAUGUUCCUAACAAGAGACAAAGAAUUGAGGAUACACGUGAUGCUGUGUCUGCUAAACAGAAGCUGUGCUCAGAGGCAAGUCUGGAGGUGAAGAUGUACUACAGGAGUACCAAACAACAGAAACCCUAACAGAUGCUGCAAGAAGACAAAUGGUUAAUAUCCUGGUGGCUCACAUGAUUGACAAUCAUGGGUAUGUUUGUUUCACAUUGUUUUUAUUUGUGCCAAAUAAAUGCAUGACCAUUGCAUAAAUGUACAAAUUUACUAAUUUAAUAUCUCCUCUCAGGCACUGCCCCACUAAAACAAUCAGAGAAGAUUAUGCACGUGGGAUAGUGAUGCUGUUCCCUUCCCUUAAGGAUCCAUACUCCAAGAAGGGCUAUGUAAUAGGCAUUAUUAUUGUUUAAACUUUCAUGUCUUGUUGUGACCCAAAACUGUGUGGAUGACAUUGAUAUUUGAAUUCCGUGAGAUUUCUCAUGAGCCUGGUAUUACAACACAUUUCUUUUUUUCAUUUCAGGAACACUUCUAUGAUGCUGCAAGCAGCACAGGAUACAUUUCUUGGCGUCUGAAAACAGUCCAGAGAAAGAUUCGUCAAGGAUCUGCACAGCCACCAAAUGGCCCAAUUGACUUUUCUCCAGGAGGCCCAAAUUGCCAAAGGACUGUUAAUGUUGAACGGCAGCUUGAUGAUGAUGCUUGCCAAGAGGCCAUGUCUUUGCUUAACCAUACAGCAGACAAUUUCCUGAUUUUCCAGAAGAUGAGAGAGACCUUUCAGCAUCGUCAGAAGCUUGUUAAUGACCCAGGCAGAAGUGUUGAUAUACUCUCCAGCUUCCCAAGAUUCCUGGAUACAAAAGGAUUGGUGGACCAAGACUUCCCUCUCCUAUUUGACGAAGACACAUCCUCCAGACUUCUUCAGAAAUGGGAUUUGUUCUUCAAGCCAAAUGUCAUUAAAGAGGCUAAGCGGCUCCUUUCACCACCUCCAGGGGGACUGAAGUCUCCAAAAAUUAGUGCAUGUGAUGCAGUUGAAAGUAUUUUAUAAGUCAUGCUGCAGUUUGGAGGAGCAUCUCCGCAACCAGCAGGGUCGGCAGCCGUACCUCCUCGCUGUUGGGCGUCAGAGGAGCAAGAUUGACAGCUUCUACAUCACCAUAGAUCUCUCGUCUCAUCCCAUGCAAGGCAAACCGCUCCCUCGGGGCAUGUGAUGAACUUUUCAAAGCACAUUUUGUGUUUAAUUUGUCUUACGAUGUGGCACGUGUGAAUUUUUAUACAUUCCUGCAGACAACAGUGUAUAACAUUGAUGUGGGGAAAAUUAAGGAGUCACCCAGAGUUAAAGACUUGAGAGCAAGACUGCUUAACCAGCCAGUAGCAUUCUCACCCUGUGAGUAAGAAGCUAUAACAAUGCUGACCUGUUUCAUGUGUUGACAAAUUAGCUAUUUACAGAGAAUUUUUAUGACCAUCAUCAUGCAUUCAGAGUAUUACGAAGUGCGGAAAGAUGUUUACUAAAAAUGUCUGGGCUUAAAUUUCAUAAACCGUUUCAUAGUCAAAGCUCAUACAAUGUUUUGGAUGAAAGUUUGUACAUUAUACCUUCAUUCACAAUGUUUUAAUUCAACUGACUGCAAGGGAGAAAAGGAAUACAUGUUUUUGAAAAUGUUUUUGUUUAUUGUGAUGAAUUCUUAUUAAUAUAAGUAUAUAUAUUUAAUUAAUACAUUUAAAAUUAAUUAACAUUUUUUCAGUGUAGAUAAUUGACAUUAGGGAGUGUAAUUAACACUACCAAAAUAGUUAAAAAAAUUAACUCGGAGCAGUGUUAGUUGUCUAAUCCCUCAGUGUUACUUUACACUGUUUUGUGAGUUAAUAAAGGAACUCUGGUAGAGUGUUAAAUGUUUAACUAUUUUGAAAGUGUUAAUUUAACUCUGGAGAGUGUGGAGCUAAAUAAACUCUCAAAAAGUGUUGAAAUCAACUCUGUGGGAGUUAACUCAACACUGGACACUUUGCUGAUAUAUAUAUAUGUAUGUACAUAUAUAUAUAUAUAUAUAUAUAUAUAUAUAUAUAUAUAUAUAUAUAUAUAUAUAUAUAUACAUAUAUAUAGGUGAUAUAUAGGUGAUGCUCUGUGUUCAUGGAUGGAGAUGGCAUCGUUCUCUCCAUGUGCCACAUCCCAAUACAAACAGCAGGGUUGUUGCCAUUGUGACGACCUGCUUACCUUUAAAGCAUGUGACACCCUCCGUCCUUAGACCCUCGUUCAUGUGAGGAAGGAACCUAUAGAAGGACUAUAGAACAGCUUUAUCCUCUAGCAGAAGGCACCAGAUAAUAGGCGGGUAAACACACGUUUUCAUCUCAGUGUGGUGAUCUAUGAAAAGUAAUUGAAUGACAUGUUACAGGACUGUUGCAGGUGCAGACCCCACAAUGAGAUGAAGCCUUUUUAAAGUCAGACUUUAUGCAUGAAGGGUUGUUUAUACUUGGUCCUGUAAAACGAUCUGAAUAUGUCUAAUGUUGACUGCUGUGAUAUGAUGGCAUCGCCUGGUUCUAUCUAACACAGAGCCCGAGUUGGCUUUGGUACGUCAGGUCAGGUGAUCUUCCUAUCGGAGACCAAUAAAGAUGAUGUCAUCACCAAGUAGCCCUGUGAGUUCUCCUGAAGAAGCUGCUGGUGGAGUUUCGCCGUGUCAGUAUGAGCACAUGAGAUUCCUAGGUGCUUUAGCAACGGCUACUUAAGCCUACAGAUGAUUUGUGUUUGUCGCUGUCUCCUUUUAUCUUUCCAUAUGUGUGAUUUAAUGUCAAAAUGUCUGUAAAUUGUAUGGAAUCAGUAACCAAUCACAACAUGGAAUGUGGGAUUGACUUCAGUUAAAGAGUAUCAAAAAAUAGCUUUCAUACAUCACAUUUUUCUUGUCUUUUUGCCAAAAAGAAGUAAACAUUAAAUGGAACAUCGCUGUCAAAUAAAAGCAGCACUACAUCGGCUCUAGAGCUUGAAGGAAGGACGGUAAAAGUUUGGAUUUGUUGUAAUCUGUAACCUCACCGAUGGAAUAGCGAGAUCCUACAUUGGAACUACCAAACCACUCGCUGACCCUUUUUCAAAUGAGACUAUAUGGUGUAUGUGUGGUUGGUUAAUGAGGAGUAGCAGUAACCAAACAGAAC